rnacentral:rRNA from 1 species
AAUGAACGUUGGCGGCGUGGAUUAGGCAUGCAAGUCGUACGGAAGUAGCAAUACUUUAGUGGCGAAAGGGAUAGUAAUGUGUAGAUUACCUGCCCUCUGGUCAGGGAUAGCGACGGGAAACUGUCGGUAAUACCUGAUAAUAUCUCCGGAUCAAAGGUGUGAUUCCGCCGGAGGAGGGGUCUACAUCCUAUUAGCUAGUUGGUGAGGUAACGGCCCACCAAGGCUGAGAUGGGUACCGGGCGUGAGAGCGUGACCCGGAUCACUGGGACUGAGACACUGCCCAGACACCUACGGGUGGCUGCAGUCGAGAAUCUUCGGCAAUGGACGAAAGUCUGACCGAGCGACGCCGCGUGUGUGAUGAAGGCCUUCGGGUUGUAAAGCACUGUAAGUUAGGAGGAAAUGUAUGUGGGUUCUCCCAUGUAUUUGACCUAUUUUCAAAGUAAGCUCGGGCUAAGUUCGUGCCAGCCGCCGCCGUAAAAC